CCUACGGGUGGCAGCAGUGGGGAAUAUUGCACAAUGGGGGAAACCCUGAUGCAGCGACGCCGCGUGAACGAAGAAGCAUUCCGGUAUGUAAACUUCUAUCAGCAGGGCAGAAAAUGACGGUACCUGACUAAGAAGCACCGGCUAACUACGUGCCAGCAGCCGCGGUAAUACGUAGGGGGCAAGCGUUAUCCGGAUUUACUGGGUGUAAAGGGAGCGUAGGCGGUGCAGCAAGUCAGAAGUGAAAGCCCGGGGCUCAACUCCGGGACUGCUUUUGAUACUGUUGAACUAGAUUGCAGGAGAGGUAAGUGGAAUUCCUAGUGUAGCGGUGAAAUGCGUAGGUAUUAGGAGGAACUCCGAUUGCGAAGGCAGCUUACUAAACUGCCACUGACAUUGAUGCUCGAAAGUGUGGGUAGCAAACAGGAUUAGAUACCCGGGUAGUC
rnacentral:rRNA from 1 species